CAAUAAUUCUCAUCCUGAGUGCCAAACUGAUCAACUGCAUCCUAAUGGAACGUUCAAGAUGUGAUUCAGUAACUGAUACGGUUGUUGCAAUAAUUAUUUUUGACCAAAUUGAAUCCACAAAAUAAUUGAAGAAAUGGUUUCAGAUGAUUACGAACAAGCGCAGCUAUCUUUGGAGAGGUAAUGCACCUACUGAUAUCCCGUGAUAAGAACUUGGGAGAGAUUUAGUGAAAACCUGGAGAACGGCCACUUAGCUCACAAAUCUGAGCUGUUCACAUCAAGCUGAUAUUUGUGACAGCCAUUAUAGCUUUAAUCAUUUUCUCGAUUGAUCAAAGCACCACAGACUGCAUCGUUCGUCACCUCUGCCUUUAAGCGCGUUAUCACCUACUCCAAUAAGCCACCCCAAUAUCCUUAAUAAGCAAUAGAAGUUCUUAUCGACUGUGUAUGACUCAUUAAUAUCCAUGUUCUGUAUAAAUUUAUGUGAUAGGCCUACUGGUAUUAAUGUUGAUGUACCGUAAUGUUUUUUGCUCAUGUAUAAUUGAUAAUAAUACAUUAAAAAUAAAUAUAAUGUUAAAUUAUUA
rnacentral:lncRNA from 1 species